GACGAACCGUGCGAACGUUAUUCGGAAUCACUGGGCUUAAAGCGCGUGUAGGCGGCCCGGCACGUCCGUCGCUGAAAGCCCCCGGCUCAACCGGGGAAGGGGCGCGGAUACGACCGGGCUGGAGGGGGGUAGGGGGCGCCGGAACGGCCGGUGGAGCGGUGAAAUGCGUAGAGAUCGGCAGGAACACCCAGGGGGAAACCAGUGGACUGGGCAUGUGCUGACGCUCAGGUGCGAAAGCGUGGGGAGCGAACCGG
rnacentral:rRNA from 1 species